UAUCGGUAUUCAGCCUUUGUGACGUCACGUAAUCCUUUCCUUCCCCUUGCAGCGGGUUUGUCGAUUUACGCGUACUCGUUUUUGAGACAGCGGUGUCGUGUUUCGUGUGUCCUGGGAAAGUGGAAUUGUAAAAAGGUCAAAGUGUGGUUGAAUAAAAGCAAUAUUUCUACAUUUUUAGUCUCACUUCGUGUCUAGAUAGAUAAGGUAGAAAGAAAGGAAAUCCGAUUACUCUUCAGUCUGAUUACUGCUACGUAGAAUAGCAUCAAACGAAACGUGAAAGUUCAUCAACUAUUUGCUGAUUCAGUGCGAGUCAUUUCAGUGGAAAACCCAGUUAAAGCAGAAAAGCAUAAGCCAAUUGCAAAUGAUUUUAUAAAAUAGUAAAAAGAAGAAAAGUGAAGAAAAAUUGGAUUCAUCCGGAACAAAGGAAUCCAAGCAAGAGUGUGCGCCCGUUCCGCGACGUUGGGGUGGGAAUCGAAUCGAAGUAGCCCGGAUCGGUUGGUACCUUCCAGUAGUGGAUUGAAUCGAAAGUGAUUACUCACGAAUCGGUGAGCUGGCUUGACGGUGAAGUUUCGCUGAAUAGCGACCGAGAAAACCGGAAACCGGAAGUGAUGUGGCAGCUGCACCGGCAGCCGAUGAUAGUGAGCAAUUACGACACCAGAGCUAGAAUGUAAAAUAGUGCAUAGUGAGAUAGUGCACCGGCGGAAGGCUGCGUUAGGUGGAUAGCGUUGCGCUUUGUGAACUGACGGUAUGAUGACGCACCGGAAGAAGAACUUUGGCUGAGUAGUUUGGCGGGAGCUGUAAAACGCAUUUUCUUUUUGAAUAAACUUUUUGUGUCCAACCUACGGCGUUCGCCGUCGUUCGUUAGCGUCGUGGAUCCGUGUCGAACGCCACGCUGCAGCGCUUAACUAUUGCUGCAGCAACAACCAUCACGACGACGCGACGGAAAGCUCCAACCGACCAGGGGUGGAUAUGGUGGUGAUAUCUAACCACCCGGGCACGUAUUGCUGCAUUCGAAAAGUGCUUGCUCACGACGACACGGGGAUGACACAUGCGGCUGUUGCUGCUGCUGCUACCUUCACGAUGCGAUACCAAGUCGGUUUUGUGCAGUUUGGUGCCCAGAGGCACCAUUACGGUUGAAUGUCGUAUCUUAUCUCGGGCACUUCAAUUUCAACUUCGGAAAUUAAACCUGGAGGGAGAUAGACGUUUUCAAUGGUAGAAUGGAUAUAGGAACAUAUGGAGUACUAAUUGGAGAAACUUUGCUAUCAGGCGUUUUUCAUAACAUACAAAUAGAAACCAGUGUAUGGAUUGAAUUUAUUUAAAUUCAAUACAAAUGAAAUCAAUUAUUAAUAAGAAAAGCGUAAAAAAUACAAUCAAGUGA